GACAGAGGCCUCAAGCGUUAGGCGGAAUCACUGGGCUUAAAGCGUGUGUAGGCGGAUCGUUAAGUGUCUUGUGAAAUCCCACGGCUCACCCGUGGAACUGCGUGGGCAUACUGGCGAUCUUGGGCCAACUAGGGGCAACUGGAACAAGCGGUGGAGCGGUGAAAUGCGUAGAUAUCGCUGGACGCCGAAGGUGAAAACAGGUUGCUGGGGUUGUG
rnacentral:rRNA from 1 species